rnacentral:rRNA from 1 species
AUACGUAGGGGGCAAGCGUUAUCCGGAAUUACUGGGUGUAAAGGGAGAGUAGGCGGAACAUGAUAAGUUAGAUGUGAAAGCCUUGGGCUUAACCCGAGGAUUGCAUUUAAAACUAUCAAGCUAGAGUACAGGAGAGGUAAGUGGAAUUCCUAGUGUAGCGGUGAAAUGCGUAGAUAUUAGGAAGAACACCAGUGGCGAAGGCGACUUACUGGACUGAAACUGACGCUGAGGCUCGAAAGCGUGGGGAGC